CACGUAGUUAGCCGGGGCUUCUUGGUCAGGUACUGUCAUUUUCUUCCCUGCUGAUAGAACUUUACAUACCGAAAUAUUUCUUCGUUCACGCGGCGUCGCUGCAUCAGGGUUCCCCCCAUUGUGCAAUAUCCCCCACUGCUGCCUCCCGCAGGGGUCUGGGCCGUGUCUCAGUCCCAAUGUGGCCGGCCGCCCUCUCAGGCCGGCUACUGAUCGCAGCCUUGGUGGGCCGUUACCCCGCCAACAAGCUAAUCAGACGCGGGCCCAUCCCGUACUGCCGGAGCUUUCCCCGCAGGGCCAUGCGGCCCCGCGGGAAUAUGCGGUAUUAGCAGCCGUUUCCGGCUGUUGUCCCCCGGUACGGGGCAGGUUGCCCACGCGUUGCUCACCCGUCCGCCACUCAGUCCCCCGCGGCUUUCCCCCGGAGGGGUCCGCCGCAGGCGCUUCGUUCGACUUGCAUGUGUUAGGCACGCCGCCAGCGUUCAUCCUGAGCCAGGAUCAAACUCUU
rnacentral:rRNA from 1 species